rnacentral:rRNA from 1 species
UACGAAGGGGGCUAGCGUUGUUCGGAUUUACUGGGCGUAAAGCGCACGUAGGCGGACUAUUAAGUCAGGGGUGAAAUCCCGGGGCUCAACCCCGGAACUGCCUUUGAUACUGGUAGUCUUGAGUUCGAGAGAGGUGAGUGGAAUUCCGAGUAUAGAGGUGAAAUUCGUAGAUAUUCGGAGGAACACCAGUGGCGAAGGCGGCUCACUGGCUCGAUACUGACGCUGAGGUGCGAAAGCGUGGGGAGCAAACAGG